UACGUAGGGCGCGAGCGUUGUCCGGAAUUAUUGGGCGUAAAGAGCGUGUAGGCGGCCAGGUAGGUCUGCUGUGAAAACUCGAGGCUCAACCUCGAGACGUCGGCGGAAACCAUCUGGCUAGAGUCCGGAAGAGGAGAGUGGAAUUCCUGGUGUAGCGGUGAAAUGCGCAGAUAUCAGGAAGAACACCCGUGGCGAAGGCGGCUCUCUGGGACGGUACUGACGCUGAGACGCGAAAGCGUGGGGAGCAAACAGG
rnacentral:rRNA from 1 species